ACCUACGCUGGCGGCGUGCCUAACACAUGCAAGUCGAACGAGAAAGUGGUAGCAAUACCAUGAGUAAAGUGGCGCACGGGUGAGUAACACGUGACUAACCUACCCUGGAGUGGGGGAUAACUGAGGGAAACCUUAGCUAAUACCGCAUAAUACUCACGGGUCAAAGGAGCAAUUCGCUUUGGGAGGGGGUCGCGGCCGAUUAGUUAGUUGGCGGGGUAACGGCCCACCAAGACGAUGAUCGGUAUCCGGCCUGAGAGGGCGCACGGACACACUGGAACUGAAACACGGUCCAGACUCCUACGGGAGGCAGCAGUGGGGAAUUUUGCGCAAUGGGGGAAACCCUGACGCAGCAACGCCGCGUGGAGGAUGAAGUCCUUCGGGACGUAAACUCCUUUCGAUCGGGACGAUAAUGACGGUACCGGAAGAAGAAGCCCCGGCUAACUUCGUGCCAGCAGCCGCGGUAAUACGAGGGGGGCGAGCGUUGUUCGGAAUUAUUGGGCGUAAAGGGUGCGUAGGCGGCUUGGUAAGUCUUAUGUGAAAUCUAUGGGCUCAACUCAUAGACUGCAUGAGAAACUGCCGGGCUCGAGUGUGGGAAAAGUGAGUGGAAUUCCCGGUGUAGCGGUGAAAUGCGUAAAUAACGGGAGGAACACCUGUGGCGAAAGCCGCUUCACUGGACCACAACUGAACGCUUGAUGCACGUUAAACCUA
rnacentral:rRNA from 1 species